rnacentral:misc_RNA from 1 species
UUUCCGUAGGUGAACCUGCGGAAGGAUCAUUAAAAAUGAAGCCGGGAAACCGGUCCUUCUAACCCUUGAUUAUCUUAAUUUGUUGCUUUGGUGGGCCGCGCAAGCACCGGCUUCGGCUGGAUCGUGCCCGCCAGAGGACACAACUCUGUAUCAAAUAUCGUCUGAGUACUAUAAAAUAGUUAAAACUUUCAACAACGGAUCUCUUGGUUCUG